AAUCAACGCUCCACACUCACUAGUAGCAGCGGCAGCAUCAGCGGUCGCCGCCGCAGCCGCCCUGUCUGUACUGGAUCAGUGGAGAUGGGCUGAGGCAACACCAAGACCAACGGCCGUUGAGAGUAGCUAGCAGUUACAGAAGGGAACACCCAGGAAUUAUUCCUGAUCCCGUUUGCCCCCUCUUCUCCCCGGCCCCAGCAGGCCAGGGAAUGUCCCGGCAGCAAGAUGCCUUAUGUGGACCGACAGAACCGCAUCUGUGGCUUCCUGGACAUAGAGGAGUUCGAAAGCAGUGGCAAGUUCCUGCGUCGUUACUUCAUACUGGACACACAGCAGGGAAGCUUGGUGUGGUUUAUGGACAACCCACAGAACCUGCCUGUUGGAACAGACUGUGUUGGCUCCCUAAAGCUUACCUACAUCUCUAAGGUCAGCGAUGCCACUAAGCAGAGGCCGAAGGCUGAAUUCUGCUUCGUCAUCAAUGCUGGAAUGAGGAAGUUCUUCCUGCAGGCCAACGAUCAGCAGGACCUCGUGGACUGGGUCGAGUCUCUCAAUAAAGCCACCAAGAUUACUGUGCCAAAGUUGUGUGAUGGACAGCAGAAUGCAGAAAACCAGAAGGCUUUACCGGAUCCAAUAGGACCCAAGAAACAAGUCUCCUAUAAGACAGAGAUCAUUGGAGGAGUGCCCAUUGUCACUCAGACACAACAUGAUGGGGGUGAUGGUGCAGACCGAGCGGAGCGUGAGGCCAUGCAUCGCUCCCACAGCCAGCUGCCGUACUUCCUGGGCAGGCCGACUCAGGAGCACGCCGCCAUCAAGUCAGGCUACUGCGUUAAGCAAGGAGCAGUGAUGAGGAACUGGAAACGGCGAUAUUUCCUACUGGAAGAAAACUCAAUGAGUUACUUCAAGUCAGAUUUGGAGAAAGAGCCUCUGAGAAUGAUCCCACUGAAGGAAGUUCACAAAGUCCAGGAGUGCAAACAGAGUGACAUUCUGAUGAGAGAUAAUCUGUUUGAAGUCGUCACCACAUCAAGGACGUUUUACAUACAGGCGGACAGCCCAGAGGAGAUGCACAGCUGGAUCAAGGCUGUCUCAGGGGCCAUUGUGGCCCAGCGGGGGCCUGGGAGGUCUGCUGCCACAAUGCGGCAGGCCAGACGGCUGUCGAACCCCUGUAUACAGAGGUAUACGUCUCGAAUCGGGGAGUGCAGCAGCACUCUGCUGCAGCUGUGUACCUGUCUUAGAUGUGUGACAUCCUGCUUGUCUCUCCUCCUCCCUCCUGUUCGCUGCCUAGAUUGAAAUUUGAAAAUGAAAAGAUGUGAAAUAAUAAGCAACCGUCACUGCUUCCUAAGGCACUUGGCUCCUCCACUGUAACCUGUCAGACUACCAAAUCUAAAACCUGCUGAUACUACUACCACGUCUCUGCUACUUCUACUACUACUAUUAUUACUUCUUCUACUGCUACUACUUCUACUACCACCAUCUCCCGUUUCUAGCCAUGCUACAUUCUUCAGCACCUACAACCUCCAAUACCAACUCUGCUAAGGCUGCAUCAGGCUCCACAUGCUGGUGCUAAUUCCAAGAACACAGCGCCCGUUCCACUUUCUACCGCAGCCCCGCGGGUCCCCCCGUCCCUCGCUCGCCCAUAUCUGCCAUGCCACCAUGCUACCCAGACUGGGGGGCAGCUGUCACGUGCGGCACACGCUCGCAGCCUGGCAUGGGACAGCGAGCACUUCAUGAGCCUGCUGCCACGGCCCAUUCACAGCCACACGCCAGCACGCCUGUCCCUGCAGGAGACGCGCCUGGCAAAGUGACCUGCGUGCCCCCUGUG